rnacentral:rRNA from 1 species
CCUACGGGAGACAGCAGUGGGGAAUAUUGGGCAAUGGGCGCAAGCCUGAACCAGCCAAGUAGCGUGAAGGAUGACUGCCCUACGGGUUGUAAACUUCUUUUAUAAAGGAAUAAAGUGAGGCACGUGUGCCUUUUUGUAUGUACUUUAUGAAUAAGGAUCGGCUAACUCCGUGCCAGCAGCCGCGGUAAUACGGAGGAUCCGAGCGUUAUCCGGAUUUAUUGGGUUUAAAGGGAGCGUAGAUGGGUUGUUAAGUCAGUUGUGAAAGUUUGCGGCUCAACCGUAAAAUUGCAAUUGAUACUGGCAGCCUUGAGUACAGUUGAGGUAGGCGGAAUUCGUGGUGUAGCGGUGAAAUGCUUAGAGAUCACGAAGAACUCCGAUUGCGAAGGCAGCUUACUAAACUGCCACUGACAUUGAUGCUCGAAAGUGUGGGUAUCAAACAGGAUUAGAUACCCUAGUAGUC